GAUGAACGCUGGCGGCGUGCCUAAUACAUGCAAGUCGAGCGAACAGACGAGGAGCUUGCUCCUCUGACGUUAGCGGCGGACGGGUGAGUAACACGUGGAUCACCUACCUCUAAGACUGGGAUAACUUCGGGAAACCGGAGCUAAUACCGGAUAAUAUAUUGAACCGCAUGGUUCAAUAGUGAAAGACGGUUUUGCUGUCACUUAUAGAUGGAUCCGCGCGGCAUUAGCUAGUUGGUAAGGUAACGGCUUACCAAGGCAACGAUGCGUAGCCGACCUGAGAGGGUGAUCGGCCACACUGGAACUGAGACACGGUCCAGACUCCUACGGGAGGCAGCAGUAGGGAAUCUUCCGCAAUGGGCGAAAGCUUGACGGAGCAACGCCGCGUGAGUGAUGAAGGUCUUCGGGUCGUAAAACUCUGUUAUUAGGGAAGAACAAAUGUGUAAGUAACUAUGCACGUCUUGACGGUACCUAAACGGAAAGCCACGGCUAACUACGUG
rnacentral:rRNA from 1 species